CCUACGGGUGGCAGCAGUGGGGAAUAUUGCACAAUGGGGGAAACCCUGAUGCAGCGACGCCGCGUGAGUGAAGAAGUAAUUCGUUAUGUAAAGCUCUAUCAGCAGGGAAGAAAAUGACGGUACCUGAGUAAGAAGCCCCGGCUAACUACGUGCCAGCAGCCGCGGUAAUACGUAGGGGGCAAGCGUUAUCCGGAUUUACUGGGUGGAAAGGGAGCGUAGACGGCAGAGCAAGUCUGGAGUGAAAGGCGGGGGCUCAAACCCCGGACUGCUCUGGAAACUGUACGGCUGGAGUGCAGGAGAGGUAAGUGGAAUUCCUAGUGUAGCGGUGAAAUGCGUAGAUAUUAGGAGGAACACCAGUGGCGAAGGCGGCUUACUGGACUGUAACUGACGUUGAGGCUCGAAAGCGUGGGGAGCAAACAGGAUUAGAUACCCCAGUAGUC
rnacentral:rRNA from 1 species